GAUGAAGAACGUAGCGAAAUGCGAUACGUAAUGUGAAUUGCAGAAUUCAGUGAAUCAUCGAGUCUUUGAACGCACAUUGCGCCGCCUGGUAUUCCGGGGGGCAUGCCUGUCCGAGCGUCAUUGCUGCCCUCAAGCACGGCUUGUGUGUUGGGCCUCCGUCCUCCUCCCGGGGGACGGGCCCGAAAGGCAGCGGCGGCACCGCGUCCGGUCCUCGAGCGUAUGGGGCUUCGUCACCCGCUCUUGUAGGCCCGGCCGGCGCUUGCCGACACAUCAAUCUUUUUUCCAGGUUGACCUCGGAUCAGGUAGGGAUACCCGCUGAACUUAAGCAUAUCAAUAAGCGGAGGA
rnacentral:misc_RNA from 1 species